CAAAAUAAGGCAUCAAGAGGGAGGUUCUAUUUAGGAAAAAUGGCUGAAUUUAGGUAGGAUUUUGGGGACUCGAUCUAGCCAACCCUUGACUAGGAUUUGAGUCAAAUUUCUUUGGGUCAGACCCAACAUAAUUUGACUCAAUUAAUCAGCAAUAAAAGACUUAAUUAUAAUCUAAUUAUAAUAAUUUAAUUCUUCCAUUUAACUCACUAACUCUUAGUGGGUUAUUUCGAACAUCAAUCUUAUUGACAAUUGAUAUUGUGAUUCCAAAUCACAAUUGACAUUGUGAUUCCAAAUCACAAUUCGACAAUCUUAAUAAUCAGAACCUCUAAUGUGUGUGACCUCAUAGGUUCUAAUUUGACUGGUAAUGAGACAUAUUGAGAUCUCCAUCUCAAUAUCACUGAAACACCUUUCAGUGGACUGAAACACUUUCAGUUCUACUCGUCAGGGUUUACCGAUCAUCAGGUAAAUGCCCGUGAGUUCCGACAUCCACAAGUGACACCUAGCAGUAUGUAGUGGCAACCCAGUAGAAUAGAAUAAUGAACCUCUAGGUGCAGUUAUCGUAUGAUACAGUCAUUCUAUCGUGGAUCCCUACAGGACGGAGGUCAUGGACAACUCGUCGAACCCCAUCGUCUGUCAUAUGUCAAGAUUUAUUCGACUUAAGUUCGAGAGUGGAAAACUCUUUCUCCACUAUUUUUACUGCCCCGGCCGAGGUCUUACGAACUCAGUCUUAUAAAUCACAUAGGAU
rnacentral:lncRNA from 1 species